rnacentral:lncRNA from 1 species
UUUUGGCGGGGGCAGCGCCGGCUGCGGAGGGAAACGCUUGGCUCUCCGGGACCGGCGCCUGCCGCGGUGCGGAUGCGUAUGGACGAAUCCUCGUGAAAACAGCUCCCGACGUUUUCCCCCACCCCCCCCAAAAAAAAAAACCAAACCCAAACAAACCACCCACUUGGAUAAUUAAAACGGUUUUUGGCAGUAUCCAGUGUUGCUAAGGAUGAUUUAAUUCCUACUACCGGUCCUAUUCCCAGAGGCAGCUUCUCCAAGGUGGCUCCUGACACAGGAAAUGAAUUCUGCAGCAGAAGAGGAGCACAGGGACGUGUCGCCUCCACUCCCCUUCCAGCAAACUCUUCUGAGACCAAUUCUCCCUCAAAGCUGUCCUGGUGAUUACACAGCAGAAAAAUAAUUCCCCAGUUGUUGGACCAGGCUGUGAGCAUCAGCAGCAGAGAAGAUGUCAGGAAGCAGCUCCCAUGGGGAUUGCUGUCCAGAAUCUGAUCUUCUGGGGCUCUUCCACAACAUAUACAACACAUCAGCCAACUAGCCAAGCCAUUAUCCUGAGAGAUCUGGACUAGAGGUUCAGACCAGCCUCAAAUAAGAGAGGAAACCAAAUCCCUUCAUCUAACAAAUUAUAGAAACAAAUCACUGUCAUCUCUUCUGGAGAACUAUGACUAGGGGAAUGAAAUUUUCUCUUUCUCCAGCCAAAAAUGAUCAAAUCAUAACAGGUUCAGUCUGUGACCACCCAAGAACUGAAGCUGGAUUUGGGAGUCGUGUUAUAUAAGCAAGUCCAUCAUCCUGUGUUCUUGCUGCUCCUCCUUCCCUCCCCCCCACACCCCUCAGCUAGAUUAAAACAGAUGGCAGAGGGACAUGAAAUAAAGAGCAAACCCAGGCAAGUGACUAAUUUUCC